rnacentral:lncRNA from 10 species
UGAGAAUGAGAAGCACAAAUUCCCCCCAAAAAGGUCUCUUGAAAUCAUAAAGAGCAGGACAACUUCUACUUCCACUCUUUGGUUCAUGAACUCGCAUAAUCUAUCUACUUGGGACUCAGAUCCACAUAGGAGCCCCCUCCAUCUGUGCCUUGAUAUUCUGAGAGGCAAUGGAACGCAAAUGCAGUGCUGGGGAAAUUGGGAG